rnacentral:lncRNA from 1 species
CUAUUUUUACCUUCAAAUUCCUACAAAUUGAAGAUGGCCUCAAUCUAAAGCCCAUAUCUAUGUUCCCUUUAUCCUAUGUACUCUGGAUGCCCUAAUCUUAUCGCUCAUAAUGCUUCAAAGGAUACUCGCUUGCAGAAGGUUGUUCAUAAGAAUUGACUCAUUGGUAUUGCUGGAAACUAGCCUCAGCUGAUAAGCAGCUUAUUAAC